rnacentral:rRNA from 1 species
CUAAGUUUGAUGGCGACCGGCGCACGGGUGAGUAACACGUAUCCAACCUGCCGAUGACUCGGGGAUAGCCUUUCGAAAGAAAGGUUAAUACCCGAUGGCAUAGUUCUUCCGCAUGGUGGAACUAUUAAAGAAUUUCGGUCAUCGAUGGGGAUGCGUUCCAUUAGGUUGUUGGCGGGGUAACGGCCCACCAAGCCUUCGAUGGAUAGGGGUUCUGAGAGGAAGGUCCCCCACAUUGGAACUGAGACACGGUCCAAACUCCUACGGGAGGCAGCAUG